CUCCAAUGGUUCCUAGAUUUGUUUUCUAGAUAUAUCUAUACAACUAUUUACAUAAAAUAUUCGAAAAGAGAAAUUUCUGUCCGAAACUGUGGUUUUGCUCUCUAGAAGCUUAUGCUGGCAUGUUGCAUUCUUCGGUGCCUUUCGGCAAUCCGAUGUACUUUCCUGUGUUUUUGCCUGUCAGCAAAAUAUGCUUUCUGUCUGAUAAUCAAUUGUCCUGUUUGUACUAAAGGGCAUCCACUACCUACAAGGAGGUAGGCUAUGGCUGACAAGACUCCGAUUUAUCCACCUUGAACUAUCGAAGAUUGUCUUCACAUUGCAGCAAGUCUUCAAGUGGCGUUCGAUUCGGAUACCCUUUUCAUUUGAUAAAGUAUCGUAUGCAAAGAGGUAUUCUGUGCCUCGAAGAAGUUGAGCUCAUGCCCAAGACCAUAUUUUUCUAAAAUC
rnacentral:lncRNA from 1 species